rnacentral:ncRNA from 1 species
UGUUUUUGCAACAGUAAUCCUGCUCAGUACGAGAGGAACCGCAGGUUCAGACCCCUGGUGCUUGCCCUUGGCUGUGGAGCCACUGGUGCGAAGCUACCAUCUGCAGGCUAAUGACUGAACGCCUCUAAGUCAGAAUCCCACCUAGACGUAGCGAUACCGCAGCGCCGUUGGCGCCUCGGUGGGCUCGCGAUAGCCGGCUGCCCGCCCGUCCGCGGGCGCGCCCGGUGCGGAGCGCCGCUUGUGGCUGGGACCCGGGACCGGAGGGGCGCACGGAUGCGGCGCCGCUCCUCUCCCAUCGCGUUCCGCAUGAUCGUGGGGCACCCGAAGCUAAAUUAUUCGUAGACGACCUGAUUGUGGGUCAGGGCUUCGUACGUAGCAGAGCAGCUCCCUCGCUGCGAUCUCAUGAGAAUCAGCACUCGACACAAGCUUUU